rnacentral:rRNA from 1 species
GAUGAACGCUGGCGGCGUGCCUAAUACAUGCAAGUCGAGCGAACGGACGAGAAGCUUGCUUCUCUGAUGUUAGCGGCGGACGGGUGAGUAACACGUGGAUAACCUACCUAUAAGACUGGGAUAACUUCGGGAAACCGGAGCUAAUACCGGAUAAUAUUUUGAACCGCAUGGUUCAUAAGUGAAAGACGGUCUUGCUGUCACUUAUAGAUGGAUCCUCGCUGCAUUAGCUAGUUGGUAAGGUAACGGCUUACCAAGGCAACGAUGCAUAGCCGACCUGAGAGGGUGAUCGGCCACACUGGAACUGAGACACGGUCCAGACUCCUACGGGAGGCAGCAGUAGGGAAUCUUCCGCAAUGGGCGAAAGCCUGACGGAGCAACGCCGCGUGAGUGAUGAAGGUCUUCGGAUCGUAAAACUCUGUUAUUCGGGAAGAACAUAUGUGUAAGUAACUGUGCACAUCUUGACGGUACCUAAUCAGAAAGCCACGGCUAACUACGUG